rnacentral:rRNA from 1 species
CCUACGGGUGGCUGCAGUGAGGAAUAUUGGUCAAUGGACGAGAGUCUGAACCAGCCACGUAGCGUGAAGGAUGACUGACCUAUGGGUUGUAAACUUCUUUUAUAUGGGAAUAAAAUGUUCCACGUAUGGGAAUUUGUAUGUACAACAUGAAUAAGGAUCGGCUAACUCAGUGAAAGCAGCCGCGGUAAUACGGAGGAUCCGAGAGUUAUCCGGAGUUAUUGGGUUUAAAGGGAGCGUAGGUGGCUUGUGAAGUCAGUUGUGAAAGUUUGCGGCGCAACCGUAGAAUUGCAGUUGAAACUGGCGUUCUUGAGUACAGUAGAGGUGAGCGGAAUUCGUGGUGUAGCGGUGAAAUGCUUAGAUAUCACGAAGAACUCCGAUUGCGAAGGCAGCUCACUGGACUGCAACUGACACUGAGGCUCGAAAGUGUGGGUAUCAAACAGGAUUAGAUACCCGAGUAGUC